rnacentral:lncRNA from 1 species
GGGGUCACAUGGCAUUCAUUAUUCUUCAGUAAUAAAUUCCAUCGGUCAUUAACAGAAAAAACGGACCAGAAAACCGGUCGUUAACGAACUUUUACAUGAUAAUGACCGGUGGGGCGUGGUUUCCGUCUGAUAAUGACCGUUGGGGCGUGGUUUCCGUCUGAUAAUGACCGCUGGGGCGUGGCUUCUCUGUUUAGAGAGAUUUACCUUUUAUGAAACAUGUUCCUGAUUUUAAUAUUAUAUUUAAGUUGUUGAAUUGUUUAUUAUAUGUUUUCGUUAAAUGUAAAAUUAAAGAUAUAUAUAUAUAACUUGAUUAAGUAUUUAUAUACUGAAAAAUUGCACUAAAAUGAAUGGCAGUAUUACUACGACUGGU